AAGGAGGGGGCAAGCGGUGCGCGGAAAAAAGGGGCGUAAAGGGUGUGUAGGUGGCUGAUUAAGUUAAGGAUGAAAUCCCGAGGCUCAACUUCGGAACUGUCCUUGAUACUGGUCAGCUUGAGGCUAGUAAAGGAGAGCGGAAUUCCCGGUGGAGCGGUGAAAUGCGUAGAUAUCGGGAGGAACACCAGAGGCGUAGGCGGUUCUCUAGGCUAGUCCUGACACUGAGACACGAAAGCUAGGGGAGCAAACGG
rnacentral:rRNA from 1 species